AUACGGAGGAUCCGAGCGUUAUCCGGAUUUAUUGGGUUUAAAGGGAGCGUAGGUGGACAGUUAAGUCAGUUGUGAAAGUUUGCGGCUCAACCGUAAAAUUGCAGUUGAUACUGGCUGUCUUGAGUACAGUAGAGGUGGGCGGAAUUCGUGGUGUAGCGGUGAAAUGCUUAGAUAUCACGAAGAACUCCGAUUGCGAAGGCAGCUCACUGGACUGCAACGGACACUGAUGCUCGAAAGUGUGGGUAUCAAACAGGAUGAGAUACCCUGGUAGUCCACACAGUAAACGAUGAAUACUCGCUGUUUGCGAUAUACAGUAAGCGGCCAAGCGAAAGCAUUAAGUAUUCCACCUGGGGAGUACGCCGGCAACGGUGAAACUCAAAGGAAUUGACGGGG
rnacentral:rRNA from 1 species